UACGUAGGGUGCAAGCGUUAAUCGGAAUUACGGGGCGUAAAGCGUGCGCAGGCGGUUUUGUAAGUCUGACGUGAAAUCCCCGGGCUCAACCUGGGAAUUGCGUUGGAGACUGCAAGGCUGGAGUCUGGCAGAGGGGGGUAGAAUUCCACGUGUAGCAGUGAAAUGCGUAGAGAUGUGGAGGAACACCGAUGGCGAAGGCAGCCCCCUGGGUCAAGACUGACGCUCAUGCACGAAAGCGUGGGGAGCAAACAGG
rnacentral:rRNA from 1 species